AUUGAACGCUGGCGGCAGGCCCAACGCAUGCAAGUCGAGCGGAUGAAGGGAGCUUGCUCCUGGAUUCAGCGGCGGACGGGUGAGUAAUGCCUAGGAAUCUGCCUGGUAGUGGGGGAUAACGUCCGGAAACGGGCGCUAAUACCGCAUACGUCCUGAGGGAGAAAGUGGGGGAUCUUCGGACCUCACGCUAUCAGAUGAGCCUAGGUCGGAUUAGCUAGUUGGUGGGGUAAAGGCCUACCAAGGCGACGAUCCGUAACUGGUCUGAGAGGAUGAUCAGUCACACUGGAACUGAGACACGGUCCAGACUCCUACGGGAGGCAGCAGUGGGGAAUAUUGGACAAUGGGCGAAAGCCUGAUCCAGCCAUGCCGCGUGUGUGAAGAAGGUCUUCGGAUUGUAAAGCACUUUAAGUUGGGAGGAAGGGCAGUAAGUUAAUACCUUGCUGUUUUGACGUUACCAACAGAAUAAGCACCGGCUAACUUCGUG
rnacentral:rRNA from 1 species